GGGGGGCGUACUAUACAUGCAGUCGAACGCGAGAAGGAGGAGCUUGCUCCUCCGGAUCGAGUGGCGGACGGGUGAGUAACACGUAGGCAACCUGCCCAUCAGCCGGGGAUAACUGCGGGAAACCGUGGCUAAUACCGGAUAAUCCCGACUGUCGAUGGACGGUUGGUUGAAAGGCGGCCUUUGGCUGCCGCUGAUGGAUGGGCCUGCGGCGCAUUAGCUAGUUGGUGGGGUAAGGGCCCACCAAGGCGACGAUGCGUAGCCGACCUGAGAGGGUGAUCGGCCACACUGGGACUGAGACACGGCCCAGACUCCUACGGGAGGCAGCAGUAGGGAAUCUUCCGCAAUGGACGCAAGUCUGACGGAGCAACGCCGCGUGAGUGAAGAAGGGUUUCGGCUCGUAAAACUCUGUUGUUAAGGAAGAAUGACAGGCAGAGUAACUGCUGCCUGUGUGACGGUACUUAACCAGAAAGCCACGGCUAACUACGUGCCAGCAGCCGCGGUAAUACGUAGGUGGCAAGCGUUAUCCGGAAUUAUUGGGCGUAAAGCGCGCGUAGGCGGUUUUUUAAGUCUGAUGUGAAAGCCCCCGGCUCAACCGGGGAGGGUCAUUGGAAACUGGGGAACUUGAGUGCAGAAGAGGAGAGUGGAAUUCCAUGUGUAGCGGUGAAAUGCGCAGAGAUAUGGAGGAACACCAGUGGCGAAGGCGGCUCUCUGGUCUGUAACUGACGCUGAUGUGCGAAAGCGUGCGGAUCAAACAGGAUUAGAUACCCUGGUAGUCCACGCCGUAAACGAUGAGUGCUAAG
rnacentral:rRNA from 1 species